rnacentral:rRNA from 1 species
AAUGCCGGAUGUUCCACAUGAUCGCAUGUGAUUGUGGGAAAGAUUUUAUCGGCGUGGGAUGGGGUCGCGUCCUAUCAGCUUGUUGGUGAGGUAACGGCUCACCAAGGCUUCGACGGGUAGCCGGCCUGAGAGGGCGACCGGCCACAUUGGGACUGAGAUACGGCCCAGACUCCUACGGGAGGCAGCAGUGGGGAAUAUUGCACAAUGGGCGCAAGCCUGAUGCAGCGACGCCGCGUGAGGGAUGGAGGCCUUCGGGUUGUAAACCUCUUUUGUUUGGGAGCAAGCCUUCGGGUGAGUGUACCUUUCGAAUAAGCGCCGGCUAACUACGUGCCAGCAGCCGCGGUAAUACGUAGGGCGCAAGCGUUAUCCGGAUUUAUUGGGCGUAAAGGGCUCGUAGGCGGCUCGUCGCGUCCGGUGUGAAAGUCCAUCGCUUAACGGUGGAUCUGCGCCGGGUACGGGCGGGCUGGAGUGCGGUAGGGGAGACUGGAAUUCCCGGUGUAACGGUGGAAUGUGUAGAUAUCGGA